rnacentral:rRNA from 1 species
AUGAAGCCCACGGCGGUCCUCCUGCCAUUGCUGCUGCUCGCCGCCUCGCUCGCUCCACAUGCUUCCUCCGCUGACGGGGUGCGCUACGACUACAAAGCCUACACUGAAUGCAAAGGCCACCCUGAGCCUGCACUGUACAACGGCGGCAUCCUCCGGUGGGCCAAGAAAAUCAAGGACUUCAGGACGGCCGACGAAGGCAACUACUCGCCGUCCUUCGUGCUCUACAACAUGUCCGCCGGCAUGGCCUACAGCUUCUCAUGCUGGGUGAAAUUCAAUGGGCCAGGAACUAUCCACGUGAAGGCCAAGAUCAUGUCACUGGACAACGCUGGAUCACAGUGCCUGGGCACGGCUCUGGUGCGGAACGACUGCUGGUCCUUCCUCAAGGGCGGCUUCACCCUCAACUCGCCGUCACAGACGUCUGUUCUCUAUUUCCAGGCAGCAACCGCGAAUGCGUCCAUGGUCUCGAUCAGAAGCGCCUCGCUGCAGCCGUUCUCGCCCGAGCAAUGGAGCCAGCACCGGGAGGACCGCAUCCAGCUGAUCCGAAAACGGUUCGUGAACGUGCACGUGUCGGACAGCAGCGGCGCCCGCGUCGUCGGCGCCAAGGUCGCCGUGCACCAGAUGAGCAGGGACUUCCCCUUCGGCUCCGCCAUCAGCAAGACCAUACUCGGCAACAAGCCAUAUCAGGACUGGUUCAAGAAGAGGUUCAACGCGGCGGUGUUCGAGAACGAGCUCAAGUGGUACGCUACGGAGCCGGCGCCGGGGAAGGAGGACUACGCGCUCGCCGACCAGCUGCUGCAGUUCGUGCAGUCCAGCGACGCGGUGGCGCGGGGGCACAACAUCUUCUGGGAGGACCCCAAGUACACCCCAUGGUGGGUCAAGAACCUCACCUCCGCCGACCAGCUCCGCGCCGCCGUGGCCGGCCGCAUCGAGAGCCUCCUCUCCCGCUACAAGGGCGACUUCGUGCACUGGGACGUGAGCAACGAGAUGCUCCACUUCGACUUCUACGAGUCCCGCCUCGGCCGCAACGCCACCACCGACUUCUUCCGCACCGCCAAGCGCGCCGACCCGCUCGCCACCCUCUUCCUCAACGACUUCAACGUCGUCGAGGUCUGCGACGACCUCAGCUCCAGCGCCGACUCCUACGUCUCCCGCCUCCGCCAGCUCGCCGACGCCGGCGUCACCUUCGAGGGCAUCGGCCUCGAGGCGCACUUCGCGAAGCCAAACAUCCCCUACGUGCGCGCCGUGCUCGACAAGCUCGGCACCCUCCGCCUCCCCAUCUGGCUCACCGAGGUCGACAUCAGCAACGCCCUCGACCCCAAGACCCAGGCGGCGUACCUGGAGGAGGUGCUGCGGGAGGGGUUCGCGCACCCGUCCGUGGACGGGAUCAUGCUCUGGACCGCCAUGGACGCCAGCGCCGCCUGCUACCAGAUGUGCCUCACCGACGGCAACUUCACCAACUUGCCUGCCGGGGACGUCGUGGACCGGCUGCUCGGGGAGUGGCAGACUAGGGAGGUCCUCGGGGCCACCAACGACCGCGGCUCGUUCAACUUCAGCGCCUUCCUCGGGGAGUACAAGCUGUCCGUCACCUACCUCAACUCCUCCGCCGAGGGCACCUUCUCGCUCGCCCGCAGCGACGACACCAAGCACAUCACCAUCCGUCUCCAGCCAUGA